AUAUCAUGCACGUAGCUGAACGGGUUCUCUCUAGUUUAAUUUCUAGAAAAAUUCUGAAUCAGCAAGACUUCUCCCUUUACAGAGAUCUGGACGUGCGGCAUUUGUUAUUCAACAGCGAUAGUUUGCAGCUAAGCAAAAAAAAAAACCCUUUAUUUUACGUCAAGUAAAUGGUGAGGGAUAUAUAGCAUGUGGCCGCUGACACACGCGCAACCUCCUAUACACCAUGAACACAAGCAAGCAAGCAAGCAA